AAUUGUAAUCCACAUGUGACCUGUUCUGCUCUGGUUCUGUUUCUGAUCUGAUCUCUGUUUCAAGAAUCAGUUUUCUUUUCUUGACCAGAUCUCGCUCUCACCUAUCCCUGAGAUUAUUCAGUUGGUAAUUGUUUAGAGGGAGAGAAUUGGAUUAGUUUUGUUUGUUUAAAGAUUGAAUUUAUCUGAUAUUGAGAUGGGGAGUCACUGCUCUAAGCUCACACCAUGCUGCUGGGAUUCACAGUUCAAAGCAGCAGCAGUUGUCGAAGUUCCUGAUGCUAUUGGUAAUGGAGGGAAGAGUGAGGUUGAUCACUUGCCUGUGUUCCGCGAGUUCACGGUCGAGCAGCUCAAGAAUGCAACUUCAGGUUUCGCUGUAGAAAACAUAGUGUCUGAGCAUGGAGAGAAGGCUCCAAAUGUUGUUUAUAAAGGGAAGCUGGAAAACCAGAGGAGGAUUGCUGUUAAGCGCUUUAAUAGAAUGGCUUGGCCAGAUGCUCGACAAUUUUCGGAGGAAGCAAGAGCAGUUGGUCAGCUCCACAACAACAACCAAGCAAAUUUGCCAGUCUAUGGUUGCGGAGCUGACCAACUGAUGAUGAGAGGCUGCUUGUGGCAGAAUACUUGCCCAAUGAGACACUUGCCAAACACCUUUUUCAUUGGGAAACACAACCUAUGAAAUGGGCAAUGCGAUUAAGGGUUGCCCUACAUCUUGCGGAAGCUCUAGAAUACUGCACAAGUAAAGGACGUGCUCUCUAUCAUGAUCUUAAUGCUUACAGAAUUUUAUUCGAUGAGGAUGGCAAUCCAAGAUUAUCGAGCUUUGGUUUGAUGAAAAACAGCAGGGAUGGAAAAAGUUACAGUACUAAUCUAGCAUUUACUCCUCCUGAGUAUUUGAGAACUGGAAGAGUAACGCCAGAAAGUGUAAUAUAUAGCUUUGGCACUCUUUUGGUUGACCUUCUCAGUGGAAAGCACAUACCUCCCAGCCAUGCCCUUGACUUGAUACGGGACAGAAAUCUUCAGAUGUUAACAGACUCUUGCUUGGAAGGGCAGUUUUCCAAUGAUGAUGGGACUGAGUUAGUACGCUUGGCUUCUCGUUGUUUACAGUAUGAACUCCGGGAACGACCAAAUUCAAAAUCAUUAGUGGCUGCUUUGAAUCCUCUUCAGAAGGAAGUUGAAGUGCCUUCCCAUGUCUUGAUGGGUAUUCCACACAGUGCUUCACUAUCUCCUUUGUCUCCAUUUGGUGAGGCUUGCUCAAGAAAGGACCUGACAGCCAUACGUGAAAUCUUAGACAAUAUUGGCUAUAAAGACGAUGAAGGAGGAAGGAGUAACAAAUGAGCUCUCGUUCCAAAUGUGGACUGACGAAAUGCAAGAAACUUUGAAUUUCAAGAAAAAGGGUGAUUCUGCUUUCAAGCAGAAGGACUUCAGAGAAGCAAUUGAGUGUUAUACACAGUUCAUUGAUGCUGGAACAAUGGUUUCUCCAACUGUUUUUGCACGGCGCAGCCUGUCCUUUCUUAUGAGUGAUAUGCCUCAAGAAGCUCUAAAUGAUGCAAUGCAAGCCCAAGUCAUUUCCCCUGUAUGGCAUGUUGCAUCUUAUCUCCAGGCUGUUGCCCAUGCUGCACUGGGAAUGGAGAAUGAAGCACAGGUAGCACUCAAGGAAGGUACAAAUCUUGAAGCUGAAAAGAAUGCAACCUCCGAACAGAAGUGAAGCUGUAGAAUAUGUGUGGUGAUUGAUCUGUGAAUUUUCGAGACUCCUUCAUUUGAAGCUCCAUCCAUGAAGAUGAAAAACUUGGCAUUGAUUUUGGGGUCAAUUCUAUGGAUGGCAUUCAUUUCCAUAAUCUAGUUAAAGAAAACACUUCUUUUCACUGAUGAUUUCCUAUGGUGGAGUCUUGGGGUUGGAAAGCAUGGGAGACUUCUAAUACUUGUGAGGUUUGAUCGUUUGUGUACUUGAGGUUCCAAAAUUGUUCCUGACAUUCCAUUGAAAGCAGAACAAAUUUGUUUUAUUUAUUUAUAUGUUCAUUUUUGACAGGUGAAUUAAUGGGAGG
rnacentral:misc_RNA from 1 species